GACAGAGGCCCCAAGCGUUAGGCGGAAUCACUGGGCUUAAAGCGUGUGUAGGCGGACGCCUAAGUGUCUUGUGAAAUCCCACGGCUCACCCGUGGAACUGCUGGGCAUACUGGGCGUCUUGGGCCAACUAGGGGCAGCCGGAACAAGCGGUGGAGCGGUGAAAUGCGUUGAGAUCCACAGGAACUCCGGUGGCGAAGGCGGCACGCUGGACCUUUUCUGACGCUGAGGCGCGAAAGCCAGGGGAGCGAACGGG
rnacentral:rRNA from 1 species